AGUAGAAGCCUAAGAACAUAACAGCUAGUGAAUGAUUUGCUUUUUCCUUUCAGGUGUCCUAGCGGCUACACCGGAAAAUAUUGUGAAAUGGCGUUUUCAAAAGGCAUCUCUCCAGGAACAACCGCAGUAGCUGUGCUGUUGACAAUCCUCUUGAUCGUCGUAAUUGGAGCUCUGGCAAUUGCAGGAUUCUUCCACUAUAGAAGAACCGGCUCCCUUUUGCCUGCUCUGCCCAAGCUGCCAAGCUUAAGCAGUCUCGUCAAGCCCUCUGAAAAUGGGAAUGGGGUGACCUUCAGAUCAGGGGCAGAUCUUAACAUGGAUAUUGGAGUGUCUGGUUUUGGACCUGAGACUGCUAUUGACAGGUCAAUGGCAAUGAGUGAAGACUUUGUCAUGGAAAUGGGGAAGCAGCCCAUAAUAUUUGAAAACCCAAUGUACUCAGCCAGAGACAGUGCUGUCAAAGUGGUUCAGCCAAUCCAGGUGACUGUAUCUGAAAAUGUGGAUAAUAAGAAUUAUGGAAGUCCCAUAAACCCUUCUGAGAUAGUUCCAGAGACAAACCCAA
rnacentral:sRNA from 1 species